rnacentral:rRNA from 1 species
CCCUUAGAUGUUCGGGGCCGCACGCGCGCUACACUGAAGGGAUCAGCGUGUGUCUCGCCUGGCCUGGGAAGGCCGGGUAACCCGUUGAACCUCCUUCGUGCUAGGGAUUGGGGCUUGUAAUUCUUGCCCAUGAACGAGGAAUUCCCAGUAAGCGCGAGUCAUCAGCUCGCGUUGAUUACGUCCCUGCCCUUUGUACACACCGCCCGUCGCUACUACCGAUUGAAUGUUCCGGUGAGCUCUUCGGACUGCGCGGUCUGCAGUUUCUGCGUUCCGUGCGGAAAGUUGCGCAAACCUUAACAUUUAGAGGAAGGAGAAGUCGUAACA